rnacentral:rRNA from 1 species
GAUGAACGCUAGCGGCAGGCUUAAUACAUGCAAGUCGAACGGUAAGGUCUCUUCGGAGAUACACGAGUGGCGCACGGGUGCGUAACGCGUAUGCAACCUACCUUUAACUGGGAAAUAGCCCCGAGAAAUCGGGAUUAAUGUCCCAUAUUAUUCUGAGGAUACCUAUCCUUAGAAUGAAAGCUCCGGCGGUUAUUGAUGGGCGUGCGUGACAUUAGCUAGUUGGUGAGGUAACGGCUCACCAAGGCAACGAUGUCGAGGGGUCCUGAGAGGGUUAUCCCCCACACUGGUACUGAGACACGGACCAGACUCCUACGGGAGGCAGCAGUAAGGAAUAUUGGGCAAUGGACGCAAGUCUGACCCAGCCAUGCCGCGUGAAGGAUGAAUGUCCUAUGGAUUGUAAACUUCUUUUAUGCAGGAAAAAUAUCCCGGUCGUGAACCGGGACUGAUGGUACUGUAUGAAUAAGCAUCGGCUAACUCCGUGCCAGCCGCCGCCGUAA